AACGAACACUGGCGGCAUGCCUAACACAUGCAAGUCGAACGAGAUCUUCGGGUCUAGUGGCGCACGGGUGCGUAACGCGUGGGAAUCUGCCCUUUGGUUCGGAAUAACAGUUGGAAACGACUGCUAAUACCGGAUGAUGACGAAAGUCCAAAGAUUUAUCGCCAGAGGAUGAGCCCGCGUAGGAUUAGCUAGUUGGUGUGAUAAAGGCGCACCAAGGCGACGAUCCUUAGCUGGUCUGAGAGGAUGAUCAGCCACACUGGGACUGAGACACGGCCCAGACUCCUACGGGAGGCAGCAGUGGGGAAUAUUGGACAAUGGGCGAAAGCCUGAUCCAGCAAUGCCGCGUGAGUGAUGAAGGCCUUAGGGUUGUAAAGCUCUUUUACCCGGGAUGAUAAUGACAGUACCGGGAGAAUAAGCUCCGGCUAACUCCGUGCCAGCAGCCGCGGUAA
rnacentral:rRNA from 1 species